CUGCUGCCUCCCGUAGGAGUCUGGUCCGUGUCUCAGUACCAGUGUGGGGGACCUUCCUCUCAGAACCCCUGCGCAUCGUCGUCUUGGUGGUCCGUUACACCGCCAACUAACUAAUGCGACGCAUGCCCAUCCGCCACCGGAAUUAACCUUUGGCACCAACAGGAUGUCCCGUCGAUGCAUUAUGCCGUAUUAGACGGAAUUUCUCCCGAUUAUCCGGCUGUGGCAGGCAGGUUGCAUACGUGUUACUCA
rnacentral:rRNA from 1 species